rnacentral:misc_RNA from 1 species
UUUAGCACUACCAUCACAGGUAUGUUGUAAAUCAUGUGUUGUUUAGGACACUAAAUAUUGGAUAUUCCUGUACAAUGGUAUAUCUGGUAUCAUUUUCACAUUAGUAAUAAACCAUCUUUUGAGUAUUGGAUUGAGUGGGAAGAGUUGAUUUGCUUUUCCAAUGUCUCCUGAGUUCAUAUGUGAAGAGAGAUUUUAUCAGGUUGACCUAAAGUAUGAUAUUGGAUUUGGCCGUGCGUGAUUAAAAUAGGUUAUAUAAAUGGAAGGCUUAAGAGUGCAUAAAUCCUAAUUUUAGCUGGUAGCACCAUAAGGUCUUUACCAUUUUGUUCUGAUAUUGUAGAUUAAUAAUUGUUACAAAUAAAAUGAUCCAAGGAAUAUGUUUUCUGAUUCUUUUUCUUUGCUUUGCUUUGCUUUGGCAGCUCUAACUGAACCAAUAGACAUAUACAGUGAAUGGAUU